CAGUAGCCUCGGGAAAACAGAGGGUGCGAGCGUUAAUCGGAUUUACUGGGCGUAAAGCGUGCGUAGGCGGCUUCUUAAGUCGGAUGUGAAAUCCCUGAGCUUAACUUAGGAAUUGCAUUCGAUACUGGGAAGCUAGAGUAUGGGAGAGGAUGGUAGAAUUCCAGGUGUAGCGGUGAAAUGCGUAGAGAUCUGGAGGAAUACCGAUGGCGAAGGCAGCCAUCUGGCCUAAUACUGACGCUGAGGUACGAAAGCAUGGGGAGCAAACAGGAUUAGAUACCCGCGUAGUCCCUGUCUCUUAUAC
rnacentral:rRNA from 1 species